UACGUAGGGGGCAAGCGUUGUCCGGAAUCAUUGGGCGUAAAGAGCGUGUAGGCGGCUCGGUAAGUCCGUUCUGAAAGUCCAGGGCUCAACCCUGGGAUGCGGAUGGAUACUGUCGGGCUCGAGUCCGGAAGAGGCGAGUGGAAUUCCUGGUGUAGCGGUGAAAUGCGCAGAUAUCAGGAGGAACACCUAUUGCGAAGGCAGCUCGCUGGGACGUAACUGACGCUGAGACGCGAAAGCGUGGGGAGCAAACAGG
rnacentral:rRNA from 1 species